rnacentral:rRNA from 1 species
UACGUAGGGUGCUAGCGUUGUUCGGAAUCAUUGGGCGUAAAGCGCGUGUAGGUGGCCUUCUAAGUUGGAUGUGAAAUGCCUGGGCUCAACCGAGGAAGUGCAUCCAAAACUAGUUGGCUAGAGGACGGCAGAGGGAGGUGGAAUUCCUAGUGUAGAGGUGAAAUUCGUAGAUAUUAGGAGGAAUACCGGCGGCGAAGGCGGCCUCCUGGACCGGUCCUGACACUGAGACGCGAAAGCGUGGGUAGCAAUCAGG